rnacentral:lncRNA from 1 species
AAAAUCGUUAAAAUUUAUCUUAGAUUAAUAAAAAAAUAAAUAUUUACUUUUAAGGUUAUGUUCUUUAAGUGACAGUUAUUGACAGAUUAUUUAUUACCAAUAAAAGCAGCUUUAUUCUCUAAUAUUUUUAUUAAUUUUAAGUUUUAGCGAUUCAACUUGCAAAGGGACAAGGUUGGAUCUCAAUAGAGUCGAUGGGUUUUGUCUUUUUCAUACAAUAAAGGAAUUAAUAGAAAAUAAACUUCCUACAAUGUGUUAAAACGAAAAAAAA